CAUAACCAUCAUUUCAGGCUCUUCUGAAAUUUAUUGGCUAAGAAGUGAAGGGUUUCGUUGAAUAAUUACUAUUUUCUUUGUCUACUCUCUGGCUCUUCAUUUUCGAGUCGAAAUGGUAACACAUUUCAAGUAGAUGAUUACUGAAACGAUGGUUUUAAUAUGUAAAAGAUUCAUAGAAGAGAUAGAGAAAAAUGAAAAAGGAUAGAAGAAUGCGAUGCUGAAAUCAUAUUUUCGUCAUGAAGAAAGUUUUUAAAGUCAUUUGAAGUUUUGAUGAAGAGAUAAAUAAGAAUGAAGACAACUAAUAAUGAAGAUAAGGGAAGAG